UUUUUAUACCCUGAACCCAUUGAAAAUGGGAAAUCAGGGUAUAAUGGUUUUGUUAAAAGCAUGUAAUAGACAGAAGGAGAUGUUGCAGAACCCAUAAAGUAUCUUGACCAG